rnacentral:tRNA from 1 species
GACGCGGUGGCCUAAUGGUUUGCACGUUGGACUCCGGAUCGAGCGGUCCUGGGUCGAGCCCUGGCCUGGGUCA